CCUGCGGAAGGAUCAUUAAUGAAUUCACUAUGGAGUUGUUGCUGGCCUCUAGGGGCAUGUGCACGCUUCACUAGUCUUUCAACCACCUGUGAACUUUUGAUAGAUCUGUGAAGUCGUCUUUCAAGUCGUCAGACUUGGUUUGCUGGGAUUUAAACGUCUCGGUGUGACAACGCAGUCUAUUUACUUAACACACCCCAAAUGUAUGUCUACGAAUGUCAUUUAAUGGGCCUUGUGCCUAUAAACCAUAAUACAACUUUCAACAACGGAUCUCUUGGCUCUCGCAUCGAUGAAGAACGCAGCGAAAUGCGAUAAGUAAUGUGAAUUGCAGAAUUCAGUGAAUCAUCGAAUCUUUGAACGCACCUUGCGCCCCUUGGUAUUCCGAGGGGCAUGCCUGUUUGAGUGUCAUUAAAUUCUCAAACUCACUUUGGUUUUUUCCAAUUGUGAUGUUUGGAUUGUUGGGGGCUGCUGGCCUUGACAGGACGGCUCCUCUUAAAUGCAUUAGCAGGACUUCUCAUUGCCUCUGCGCAUGAUGUGAUAAUUAUCACUCAUCAAUAGCACGCAUGAAUAGAGUCCAGCUCUCUAAUCGUCCGCAAGGACAAUUUGACAAUUUGACCUC
rnacentral:rRNA from 1 species